rnacentral:rRNA from 1 species
GUCUAUGGCCAUACCACCCUGAACGUGCCUGAUCUCAUCUGCUCUCAGAAGCUAAGCAGGGUCGGGCCAGGCUAGUACUUGGAUGGGAGAUAAGGCUUGAUGCUGGGCAAAGACGGCAGCUCAUUGGCU